rnacentral:rRNA from 1 species
GAUGAACGCUGGCGGCGUGCCUAAUACAUGCAAGUCGAGCGAACGGACGAGAAGCUUGCUUCUCUGAUGUUAGCGGCGGACGGGUGAGUAACACGUGGAUAACCUACCUAUAAGACUGGGAUAACUUCGGGAAACCGGAGCUAAUACCGUAUAAUAUUUUGAACCGCAUGGUUCAAAAGUGAAAGACGGUCUUGCUGUCACUUCUAGAUGGAUCCGCGCUGCAUUAGCUAGUUGUUAAGGUAACGGCUUACCAAGGCAACGAUGCAUAGACGACCUGCGAGGGUGGUAGGCCACACGGGAACUGAGACACGGUCAAGACUCCUAAGGGAGGCAGCAGAAGGGAAUCUUACGCAAUGGGCGAAAGCAUGACGGAGCAACGCCGCGUGAGUGAUGAAGGUCUUCGGAUCGUAAAACUCUGUUAUUAGGGAAGAACAUAUGUGUAAGUAACUGUGCACAUCUUGACGGUACCUAAUCAGAAAGCCACGGCUAACUACGUG